UGCGAUUUUGGGUGCGGUUUUGGU
rnacentral:siRNA from 1 species